AGAGUUUGAUCCUGGCUCAGAAUCAACGCUGGCGGCGUGCCUAACACAUGCAAGUCGAACGCGAAAGUGGAGCAAUCCAUGAGUAGAGUGGCAAACGGGUGAGUAACGCGUGGGUGACCUGCCUUCGAGUGGGGGAUAACGCUCCGAAAGGGACGCUAAUACCGCAUAACAUCCUGCCUUUUAAGAGGUGGCGAUCAAAGCCUGGGACCGCAAGGCCAGGCGCUCAAAGAGGGGCCCGCGUCUGAUUAGCUAGUUGGUGGGGUAACGGCUCACCAAGGCUUCGAUCAGUAUCCGGCCUGAGAGGGCGGACGGACACACUGGGACUGAGACACGGCCCAGACUCCUACGGGAGGCAGCAGUGGGGAAUUGUUCGCAAUGGGCGCAAGCCUGACGACGCAACGCCGCGUGGAGGAUGAAGAUCUUCGGGUCGUAAACUCCUUUCGAUCGAGACGAACGGCCUCUGGGUGAACAAUCCAGGGGAGUGACGGUACCGAGAGAAGAAGCCCCGGCUAACUCCGUGCCAGCAGCCGCGGUAAUACGGGGGGGGCAAGCGUUGUUCGGAAUUACUGGGCGUAAAGGGCUCGUAGGUGGCCAACUAAGUCAGACGUGAAAUCCCUCGGCUUAACCGGGGAACUGCGUCUGAUACUGGAUGGCUUGAGUUUGGGAGAGGGACGCGGAAUUCCAGGUGUAGCGGUGAAAUGCGUAGAUAUCUGGAGGAACACCGGUGGCGAAGGCGGCGUCCUGGACCAACACUGACACUGAUGAGCGAAAGCCAGGGGAGCAAACGGGAUUAGAUACCCCGGUAGUCC
rnacentral:rRNA from 1 species